UUUCGGCGCAAGCGUGCCGUCGGUCAUGCUCUUAACUGGGUGCGAUUCCGAUGGCAAGAUCGUCGACGUAUCACUUUGAAAAAAUUAGAGUGCUCAAAGCGGGCGAGACGCUUCGCGCGUCGCAUUCGCUCGAACAGGUCAGCAUGGAAUGACGAAAAAGGACCGCGGUUCUAUUCUUCGUCGGGUCUAUAGGACUCGCGGUAACGAUCGAUAGAGACUGACGGGGACAUUCGUAUUGCGACGCUAGAGGUGAAAUUCUUGGACCGUCGCAAGACGCACUACAGCGAAAGCAUUUGUCAAGAAUGCUCUCGUUGAUCAAGAACGAAAGUUGGAGGUUCGAAGGCGAUCAGAUACCGCCCUAGUUCUAACCGUAAACGAUGCCAACCGACGAUUCGUUCGCGUUAAUUUAUUACAAAAUGACCGAACGAGCAGUCUCCGGGAAACCAAAGUCCACGGGUUCCGGGGGAAGUAUGGUUGCAAAUCUGAAACUUAAAGGAAUUGACGGAAGGGCACCACCAGGAGUGGAGCCUGCGGCUUAAUUUGACUCAACACGGGAAAACUCACCCGGCCCGGACACUGUAAAGAUUGACGUAUUAAUAGCUGCUUCUCGAUUCAGUGGGUGGUGGUGCAUGGCCGUUCUUAGUUGGUGGAGCGAUUUGUCUGGUUGAUUCCGAUAACGAACGAGACUCUAGCCUGCUAAAUAGGCGCCCGAUUAACGGCUCGUGGUUGCGCUGUUUAAGCUUCGGCUUUUA
rnacentral:rRNA from 1 species